rnacentral:rRNA from 1 species
AGCGAACGCUGGCGGCAGGCCUAACACAUGCAAGUCGAACGAAGCCUUCGGGCUCAGUGGCGGACGGGUGAGUAACACGUGGGAACGUACCUUUUGGUUCGGAACAACUCAGGGAAACUUGAGCUAAUACCGGAUGAGCCCUUAGGGGGAAAGAUUUAUCGCCGAAAGAGCGGCCCGCGUUAGAUUAGCUAGUUGGUGAGGUAAAGGCUCACCAAGGCAACGAUCUAUAGCUGGUCUGAGAGGAUGAUCAGCCACACUGGGACUGAGACACGGCCCAGACUCCUACGGGAGGCAGCAGUGGGGAAUCUUGCGCAAUGGGCGAAAGCCUGACGCAGCCAUGCCGCGUGAAUGAUGAAGGUCUUAGGAUUGUAAAAUUCUUUUACCAGGGACGACAAUGACGGUACCUGGAGAAAAAGCCCCGGCUAACUUCGUGCCAGCCGCCGCCGUAAAAC